CCUACGGGUGGCAGCAGUGAGGAAUAUUGGUCAAUGGACGAGAGUCUGAACCAGCCAAGUAGCGUGAAGGAUGACUGCCCUAUGGGUUGUAAACUUCUUUUAUAUGGGAAUAAAAUGUUCCACGUGUGGGAUUUUGUAUGUACCAUAUGAGUAAGGAUCGGCUAACUCCGUGCCAGCAGCCGCGGUAAUACGGAGGAUCCGAGCGGUAUCCGGAUUUAUUGGGUUUAAAGGGAGCGUAGGUGGAUUGUUAAGUCAGUUGUGAAAGUUUGCGGCUCAACCGUAAAAUUGCAGUUGAAACUGGCAGUCUUGAGUACAGGAGAGGUGGGCGGAAUUCGUGGUGUAGCGGUGAAAUGCUUAGAUAUCACGAAGAACUCCGAUUGCGAAGGCAGCUUACUGGACUGCAACUGACACUGAGGCUCGAAAGUGUGGGUAUCAAACAGGAUUAGAUACCCGAGUAGUC
rnacentral:rRNA from 1 species